GGAACCUUCCAGAUUUAAUAUUACGAGCUCGCGUUGGGUAAUGCAUAUACUACUAGUUCUGUCUUACAAGCUUGCUGUUUACAAGAUUCUGCUCUGAAAAGAAAUCUCUCAUUUAUGAUAAAAAAAAUUAGCCUUCGUUGAUAAAAUAAACGGCAUAAAAACAGAAAUGAAGAACUGUUUUAACAGGUAUGACAGCUCAACAUUUCACCACAAACUCGGAAAAUGAAGAACCUCUAUGAAUUUCAAUAUCAAAAUUUUUCCAGAAGAAAGAAUUGGCCGCUAUAAGGAUCAAGGAACUCUCUAAUUUUUGUUAAUAAAUUGUCAUCGAAGCAUAAAGUUACAAAGAAGUUUGCCGUUAUCAACGAG